UAUGCCAUAUCAUAAUUGGUAUAAGGACAAAGCGUUGUAUAUUCUGCACUUAAACUCAAUAAAGAAAAACACAAUAUCAGGAAAUGCUGUCUAGCAAGACUAGCAAAAUCAAUCUCCUUCACCAGGAAACCAGAGGCGGAUACAGAAUUUGAACGUUGUAGUUUUGAGUUUGAGAUUCUACCACAGUACAUUCCAUUAACUGGUUCAGAAUCUACUAUUUGUACUUAUUUAGUUGAUUUCAUUUACUGGAUUCGGAGUCUACUGAUUUUUCAUUUGUACUAUUUGUACUCAUCUGAACCCAGAAGUAAUGAGCUAGAUCCGCCACUGCAAGAAACUGAUCUAGGAGAGACGUGUCUGUCAAAAUGAAUCGAAUUCUAGUUUCCUGUUCUGGUGAGGAUACCAGUGAUUCUAUCAAAGAGGACCGGUUCUCCAUCUGAUUAGAGACAGAUUGAUUAGAUAUAUACUAUACCUUUGAAUCUAAACUAUCUAAGCUUCGAUUGUUCUCUUUGAUUCCUGUUCAGGUCUUAGCAUUUCUAUUCAUUUUUUGGAAUUAGACAAGAGGGGGUGCUCUAAUGGUAAGCAACCCCCACUUCCAACCGAGAGGUUGUGAGUUCGAGUCUCCCCAAGAGCAAGGUGGGAAGUUCUUGGAAGGAAACAGCCUCUCUACCCCAGGGUAGGGGUAAGGUCUUCGUACACACUGCCCUCCCUAGACCCCUCUAAGUGGGAUUAUACUGGGUUGUUGUUGUUGUUGUUGCUGUCAUUUGUUGGAAUUAGUUUUGACUAUUGAUGGCAAAAUGGAUUUAAAAAAAUAGUUAUCCACCCAUAUUAUCUACUAAAAAUGGGUUGGAUAAUGAAAUUUUUAAAACAGUCAAAUAUAGAUAAGAGCCAUGUGAUCCACUUACAAAAGGGAUAACUGAUAAGUUCAACUUUUACAUUUGUAAAGACUCAAAGUGGGAGUUACUGAUGUUUGGGAGACUAAGAAUUCUCCCAAAAGUGAUCAUAUUCAAGAAGCCAUAAAUAAUGUGAAUAUUCAUAUUAUCCAACAGUUAACCCAUUUUUUAUCCGCAUUAAAUAUAAGUGAGGUCGGAGUCAGAUAAUUUUUCUAUUUCUGCAUUACCCGUUUUCAACCUGCCUAUGUCCAACCCGAUCUGUCCAUUUGCCACCCCUAGCUUUGACUUACAUAUGAUGCUUUUCUCGUCACUUUUGGUGAAUCAAGCAGCUAAUACUCACUGUACACUUAAAACUUGUAAAAGCGGAGAUUUAGAUCAUUGUUUGUGCCAUAUGUUGAAACAGUAAACUUGGCAACGAUUUUCUGCUUUUCAUUCACUAAACUUCACAUGCCAGAAGCAUUAAUAAGUUAAUGCUGUUUAACCUCAAAACUGAAACAAAGAGCUCGAAUACGUUGGUGUGUUUUUGCUCGAUGUUUAGUCGUCCUUGUUUGAAGAAACACAGAAUAUUUUGAAUCUUCUCUUCAUUUCUUAUUUACCAUAUCUAUGCUGGGUACAUUAGUGUUAAGAUUGCUCUUGCAUGUCCUAGCAAAAUCACUCUCCAUCACCUAGAAACUGAUCUUGCGAGAGGCGGUUCUGUCAAAAUGAAUUGAAUUCUAGUUUCUUGUUUUUGGAAGAGAUCACUAAUCCUAUCAAAGUUUAGUGAUUCUCAGUUCGAUUACAGACAGCUUAUUAGAUUCAUGCUGUAUCUUUGAAUCUGAAUCAUAUCUUUGUUUCUCAUCUUCAUUGCUUAUCUGUAAUAUAUUUGCUGGGUGCAUUUGCAUUAAUGAUUGAAGUUAAACUCAUUCGUUUGUGUUCCUCUAAGAGGAACUGACAUUUAGUGGGAAUGUGUUGAAGUUCCAAUUUGACUUAUGUACAUGGAGAUAUUGUGGAUUUAUAUAACAUCUUUUUUAUCAGUAAUUAAGUAUAUUCAUUUAUAUAAGCUUUUUCUUGAUAAUCAAGAAAUCCCAGAUUUUUCCUGAUAACUGGUAAAUCCCCUGUGGAAAGACAAGAGGGGUUGCUCUGAUGGUAAGCAACCCCCACUUCCAACCGAGAAGUUGUGAGUUCAAGUCUCCCCAAGAGCAAGGUGGUAAGUUCUUGGAGGGAAGGAUGCCGGGGGUCUAUUUGGAAACAGCCUUUCUACCCAAGGGUAGGGGUAAGGUCUGCNNNNNNNNNNNNNNNNNNNNCUAGGGAAGUUCUUGGAGGGAAGGAUGCCGGGGGUCUAUUUGGAAACAGCCUCUCUACCCCAGGGUAGGGGUAAGGUCUGCGUACACACUACCCCCAGACCCCACUGAGUGGGAUGUGGGAUUAUAC
rnacentral:lncRNA from 1 species